rnacentral:rRNA from 1 species
GGAGUUUGGUCCGUGUCUCAGUACCAAUGUGGGGGACCUUCCUCUCAGAACCCCUACUGAUCGUCGGCUAGGUGGGCCGUUACCCCGCCUACAACCUAAUCAGACGCAUUCCCAUCCUAUAGCGGUAAACCUUUGCUUCUCGUCAGAUGCCAUCAAAGAAGAACAUAGAGCAUUAAUUCGACUUUCGCCGGGCUAUUCUCUACUAUAGGGAAGGUUGGAUACGCGUUACUCACCCGUGCGCCGGUCGCCAGCAAGAUUAGCAAGCUAAUCUCCUGCUGCCCCUCGACUUGCAUGUGUUAAGCCUGUAGCUAGCGUUCAUC